rnacentral:rRNA from 1 species
ACGGGGUGCAGCAGGCGCGAAAACUUGGCAAUGCGAGAAAUCGUGACCAGGGAACUCCAAGUGCAUCGGGUAAGACCGAUGCUUUUCUUGACUCUUCAAAGGUCUUGGAAUAAGGGGUGGGUAAGGACGGUGCCAGCCGCCGCGGUAAUACCGGCGCCCCAAGUGGUAGUCGCUUUUAUUGGGCCUAAAACGUCCGUAGCCGGUCUGGUACAUUCGUGGGUAAAUCAACCAGCUCAACUGGUUGAAUUCUGCGAGCACGGCCAGACUUGGGACCGGGAGAGGUGUGGGGUACUCUCAGGGUAGGGGUAAAAUCCUGUCAUCCUGAGAGGACCACCUGUUGCGAAGGCGCCACACUAGAACGGAUCCGACGGUCAGGGACGAAGCCUAGGGGCACGAACCGGAUUAGAUACCCGGGUAGUCCUAGGUGUAAACGCUGUGGA